rnacentral:rRNA from 2 species
UACGGAGGGGGCUAGCGUUGUUCGGAAUUACUGGGCGUAAAGCGCACGUAGGCGGAUCGGAAAGUUGGGGGUGAAAUCCCGGGGCUCAACCUCGGAACUGCCUCCAAAACUAUCGGUCUUGAGUUCGAGAGAGGUGAGUGGAAUUCCGAGUGUAGAGGUGAAAUUCGUAGAUAUUCGGAGGAACACCAGUGGCGAAGGCGGCUCACUGGCUCGAUACUGACGCUGAGGUGCGAAAGCGUGGGGAGCAAACAGG